CAGCCGCCGCGGGAAUACGUAGGGUGCGAGCGUUAAUCGGAAUUACUGGGCGUAAAGGGUGCGUAGGCGGCUUGACAAGUCUUGUGUGAGAUCUAUGGGUUCAACCCAUAGUCUGCACGGGGAACUGUCGGGCUUGAGAAUGGGAGAGGUGAGUGGAAUUUCCGGUGUAGCGGUGAAAUGCGUAGAUAUCGGAAGGAACACCUGUGGCGAAAGCGGCUCACUGGACCAUUUCUGACGCUGAUGCACGAAAGCUAGGGGAGCAAACAGGAUUAGAUACCCCCGUAGUCCCUGUCUCUUAUAC
rnacentral:rRNA from 1 species